GGGCCCGUGGUCUAGCUGGUUAUGACGUCGCUCUCACACAGCGAAGAUCACCGGUUCGAAUCCGGUCGGGCCCA
rnacentral:tRNA from 1 species